rnacentral:tRNA from 1 species
UCCCUGGUAGCCUAGUGGCUAAGGCUCUGCACUCCCCAUGCAGGGGGCCCAGGUUCUAUCCCUGGUUGGGGUA